AGAAUGUAUCUCUUUUUUUUUAAAAUUCUUUAUUUAUAAAAAAGUACAUUUUUUUUUUCCACAGCUGAGCCACUAUUGGUUUUUAUACAAGUAAAAGGAAGGGCGAUGCAACACCCCACCCACACAAAUUAGAACCAUGAAAAUGCCCCCCCGCCCCCAAACAAACAAACUACAAAGGAUGGAAAACAAAACAACAAAAAUCAUUAAAGUCCGUUACAUUAUUAUUAUUUUUACUUUUUUUUUAUUUAUUUUUUUUUUUUACAAAAGCACUUACAACACAGGUUACCAAAAAAAAAAAAAACCAAGUGGGGUUGGGGUUGUCUGUCGUGUUCAUUCCACAAUGAUAAUUACAGCAGGAGGGAGAAGAAAAAGAGAGAGAAAAAUCACUGGAGUUAAGGAAUCGUGUUUAAAAAAAGGCAAAAUAAAAGAAAAACCAGAUUCUCAGCGAGAGUACCUCCACCAAUACCAGUUUAUGCCAGUGCAGGAUCUGAGUCCAUAUGCUCGGUACGUUCACCCCCAAGUGAAUUACAUAUGGAAAUCACACUGGUCUGAAGUACAAACUCAACCCCUCUAAGGCUCGGGUUUCCUUCCCUUGCUGGUGGGCUGUAUCCCCCCCUUUGCCCAUUGCAGAAGGCAGCCCAGCCGGGCUGUGCUCUGCUCAGCCCAUCGGUCCUGGGGAGAGGAGGAUGAUGAGGCAGCGGUUGGACCCAAGACCUGCCCACCCCGCUCAGAGCUGCUCAAACAGACAGCAAAUUGCGUGAAGUAGGAAAGAGUUGGGUGAAGCUGCAGGGUAGGGGAGGGUAAAGUGCUACAGUGAGCCCCGCAGAAUGAACAACAGGCAUCGGUGCGGGGGGGCUGGCAGCAUCUCCCACCGCUCGCAGCCCAGCAAGCAGACCCGAACACUUGGGUGAUACGACAGGAGUGGUUGUGAACACAGGAAACGUACAGUGAAUUUCUAACCUACAGCCUGCUCUGCUGCUUCUACUCUUAGCGCAAAAUGGGCCGGGGACAUCCCCUUCGUUCCCAAAGUACAGAACCUCUGAGCUUUGUGCAGCCUGCAGAUGUUAGGGAUUCACCCAUCUCGCACCCUGAGCGGGUAACAGGGUUUUCCCUCCACUCUUUGAGCAUAAUGGCUGGUGUCUGAAACUCCACAAAUCUGUGUGUGUGCGCGUUUGUGUAUGGCACAGAAAAACAGCAAAGGGGAGCAGCAGCCCCCAUUCUCAUUGCAUUCCCUUCUCUAAUUGCUUCAAGAUCAAUCUUUUGAAUGUCUCUUUCUCUCUAACCCUCAGUGAUUUCUGCUGCACGGUUGUGCUGGCUUUUUUACUCAACAUCAGGAAAAUGGCUCCCUUUGUCCCUUAUGUCUGUGCAAUCAAUUCAGUGCUACCACUUCAGUUUGUUUGAGUUUUUACUAUGAAAUCUUCAGCUUUUUUUUUUUUUGUUGUUCUUUUUCCUCCCCCUGGCUGAAAGAAAAUGAUCUAACAACAGGGGAAAAAGAAUCUGGUAAUUAAAUAAGAGAAAAUAGCAUCACUAGUGUGAAUUGCAACGAAUAAUCCUAGAGAUAAGCCCCAGUAGGAAAACAGAUGGGGUAUCUUUGUACAUAAACUAGAGGCUCGUUUUGGGUUGUGACACAGAUACGUCUGGUUCAGUACAGCUCCCUGAAUACACGCGGGCAAGGAGCAGGGGGCUCGGCCCAAAUUCACCUGGUUUCUGUUUUGAGAUGGGGACAUGCCCCACCAUGACCAGGGGGUUGGCCUGGGGGCUCCCACCCCAUCCUCUGCCAUUGGCUGUGAAGCAGGGAUGCCCCAUAUACAGCUGGGAGCUGUGCUGGGUCUCAUGGGGAUGUUUUACACCUCCUUAGCACCUCUGACCAAAGGGGACAGAGAUGCAGGGGAUUUGAGGCAGCCCGGGGUCCCUCAGAGCGGCGGCCCAGCCUGCGAGCUCGUGUGCACAGCUGGGAGAAGGGUGUCACCACCUAAAAUCAGCAUCUUGACUCCAGCCUGCCAGAAUUUGGCCCAUGGCGAGAAACUGAAGCACAAAAGGGACAAGCAACUCUGUCUCUCAAAGAAAGAGCAGAUUGGCCCUCUGCCCCCUGUGACCCCCAGGCAGAUUGUCCCCCCCAAGUGACUACUGCAUGGUCCCCAGCACUCUCAUUGCCCUGCAGAACCUCCCAGGGAGCAGGACGCACUUGAUCUUCAGUUUGGCACCUCUACUGAGCUCACCUUGGCGUUCACACAGAGACAGGUACCACUUCCUGAUGCUGCUGGAAAACAUGAUCUAAUUACCUUCAAGGGUCCCCUCAGAGCAAUUUAACCUAGUGGAGGGAGUGAUGCUGUUACUGGAUCAAAACAGCUCUCAGGUGAAACCUCAAUCUGAUUUUUUCCCCAUACUUCUUUUUUUUUCCUACCUUGCUAUGGAUUAAUAGCUAAUCACUUGGCUAAUUACCACCCCAAGAGUCUCUCGCCCAAUUAGCUGACCUUGCAAGGGACAGCAAGAAGCAAAUUACUGCACAGAGGUGGCAUUUCUCUAUGGCUGUGGGGAUGAUUGCACCAGUGGAGUAAUGCUGAGGGGCCCAAGGAUGAGAGGAAUGCACUAGUGAACCUUGAACCUGCAGGGUGCUGCACUGCUGUGCCAGGCAAUACUGUCUUAAGGAUCUUCCGCUCUAGGCUUGCCCAGGUUCUGGAUGAAAAAUAAUCGUUUGACCCUUCUGAGCCACAUUGGUGAGCUAAUUGGCUGCGCUCUUUCCUAGACUUGUGCAGUUUUGGGGAGCAAAACGUGUGAUGUAGCAAAAAGGGAAAUGCAUAUAGGCUCUAGCUUGGAAAAACCAUAUAGCUCCACCGUCUCCUUUCUCUGAGCCCCACUGUUGUUUUUGAGUCCUCAGAGAGCUGUGUGACAGUAUGUGAAUGGGCAACGAAUAACCCAAGGAGGCUACAUCUUAAAAAAAUGAUACCUCUGAGUGCAAGGCUAAUAACUACCGAAGCGUAUUUCUUAGGACUGCUUAUUUAUAUUUUCAGCAAGUUGUACCUUAAGUCCGGAACAGUCGUUCUGUCCUGUUCUCCCCCAGGCCUGCCUGUUUCAUUUGCAAGGCUUUGUGGCGCUGGUCUUUAGGACAGAACUGUACUGAGGGCUAAUGUGAAUUUUCCAGGUCAGCUCAGUGGCCCCUGUCUGUGACUAAUGCAGAACAUGAAAGAAUUGCUGAUGGGCUCUGCAGAUUUUAUAAAAGGUUGUUUUCUUCCCAAUCCACCUCCUUGCAGUAUGCGUUAUAUAUGUGCUGGGGGAAAUUCGCAGAGGAGGGUCUGUGCCACGGAUUCCCACUCCGCGCUUGGCCGUGGACCACCUGGAGUUUGGUGUUGGAGACGUGGUCACAACCCUUUAUAGAGCCUAGUUGUGAAGUUCAGAUCUAAAGGAUUAUUCACUUGAGAAAUAGACUUCGUUGGGAAUGAUCUCUGAAUCACAAGCUGUGCCGGCUCUGCAGCAUACCCCGUGUUACACUGAAGUGAGCUGUGGCUAAGGUGUAACGCUCAGCAAUGCUGCUCUGUCCUGAUCCAGAUUACAGGGUUCAGACUGGGGGGAAUUAAAGCCCUGUGUAUGCUCUUAUCCCAAGGCACGGGAGGAAAGUCACUCCUUCUGCGGGUUUACAACACCCCUAACAGUCAGCCCCUACUAGUAAUCAGAGAUAUGGAGAGAUGUUAGAGAUUCAACUUCUUUAUUGGGCUUGCUUGGUAGGCGGGUGCUCCUGAGUGGCAGUGGACGGACACAGGGAGGUUUAGCCAUGUUUUUUAAGAUCCAGCCCAGAGAUCCCAAGAGAAUCUCUGCUGUGUGGACACAAAGCAGCCUUCCUGUGGCAUGCGGCUCUUCUGCCAGAGGCCAGGAAGCAGGGAGGUCUGGCAGGAACCGCAGCGAGAUUACAGGGUAACAAUCGGAUUUCCCAGCCCACUACACCGCUAAGGCAAUAAAACCAGGGUACAAAGUGUGGACGGUUCGGGCUGAGCUUUGCGUUGUCUGCACCAAGGACCACAUGCUAAGGGAAAGCUGCCUGGAUCAGAGACCUGACCUUGACUCAUCUGCGUGGGUCUGGCUCUGCACCCUCCCUUUUGUAGCAGGAUAACCGCUGGAUGCUAUGGAACAAAACCCAGCGGGUAAGGCAGGAGGAGAAUUAGUCCUGCUAUUUUUAGAUGUGCAUGAUAAUACAGCUCAGAAAACUGGGGAUUUCUUUUCAAACAAAAGAUUUAUUUAUACAUCAAAUUAAAAAAAAAAAAAAAAACAACAAAAAACACAAAAAACAUCACACAAGAAGAAAAAUAAGCCCCAACCCAAUGAAUGUAAUUUGGAUAUGGUCAGUGUUAGUCAGAGGGCCCUGAAGUCUGGAAUCCCAUUUACCCACAGAGCAGAGAUAGCAGCAAUCCAAGCCUCCCCAUCACAAUGCAGCGGCUCAAGGGAAGGAGGAGGAGAUAAAUACCCCCGGCUCGCUCGCUCCUGCCCUAUCUACCAAACCUUUGCUUAGAAGUGGGAUGUGAUUUUUAAAAAGUGGCAAUCAAUGCAGACUAAGCAUCUUAUCCAGGGGCUGGGGUUGUUGCUAAGCGAGUUAGAGAGAAGCGGCCCUGUGUUCUGAUCCGAAAGAGAAACAAAAGUGUAAACACAUGACAAUUAAGUUUUAGUGGUAUAAUAACACUUAAGGGCCUGAUCCUGUACCGCAGCCCUCAAAGACACUGGAUGGUACCCUGGAGAUCUGCCCUGCUGGGCUCCACAGAGCAGCGCUGCAGGCAGUUGAGUUUGUGGGGAAAGCAAAGUGGUAUCUGUUGUUCCGCUCCCCCAGGGUUGUGGCAGCCAGGUGUGUGCAAUGGCACAGCCAGGUGUACGCAAUGACACAGCCAGGUGUGCGCAAUGACACAGCCAGGUGUGCGCAAUGACACAGCCAGGUGUGCGCAAUGGCACAGCCAGGUGUGCGCAACGACACAGCCAGGCGUGCGCAAUGGCACAGCCAGGUGUGCGCAAUGACACAGCCAGGUGUGCGCAAUGGCACAGCCAGGUGUGCGCAACGGCACAGCCAGGUGUGCGCAACGGCACAGCCAGGUGUACGCAAUGGCACAGCCAGGCGUGCGCAAUGGCACAGCCAGGUGUGUGCAAUGGCACAUCCAGGUGUGCACAAUGACACAGCCAGGUGUGUGCAAUGACACAGCCAGGUGUGUGCAAUGACACAGCCAGAUGUGCAGGACACGCCAUGCACAGCUGCUGGGCAGAGUUAACUGCUCUGCGGCUGGUACCAGCAACAACAGCAGCAACGGGGACAAAAAGAGCCAGCGUUUCUCUGAGCCAUCACGGGGGAAAAAAUGUCAGCAAUAAAUACUCCUUUUCUUUCUUCCAAAAGAACACUCAUACAAAGGCAGAAAAUGAAAAGCCAGGAAAUAAUAAAUGGUAGGAGGAAAAUGGCAGCUCUGUUUCCCUGCCCUGCUAUCAGCCCGUGCACCUGGGGUUUGUUCUAGGGCUUUUUCUCCCCUCUCUCUCAUUUUGCUUUUAUUGAGUCACUAAAAAGUGGGAGUGGAUCUCCCCAGGCAUGCAGCGGGCAGUGGGAAUGCUACCCACACCUCACUGAAAAGAAAGCGAUUAGGAAAAACACCAUCGGUUCACCUGAUAACAGCACCUAUGUCUCCAGUGCCAUGAGCUUCCCUGGCUUCCAGCCUUCUAUGGACAACCCACUUGACCCCUCCCAAGGUUAAAAACAAAACAAAACAAACCCAA